rnacentral:rRNA from 1 species
UGGAUCCAGACUUUGAUCAUGGCUCAGGAUGAACGCUGGCGGCGUGCCUAACACAUGCAAGUCGAACGAAGUUACUUGCUUAGAUCUCUUCGGAGUGACGAGCUUUUAACUUAGCGGCGGACGGGUGAGUAACACGUGAGCAACCUGCCUUUCAGAGGGGGAUAACGGCUGGAAACGGUCGCUAAUACCGCAUGACAUAUUGAAUCGGCAUCGGUUUAAUAUCAAAGGAGCAAUCCGCUGAAAGAUGGGCUCGCGUCUGAUUAGAUAGUUGGUGGGGUAACGGCCUACCAAGUCGACGAUCAGUAGCCGGACUGAGAGGUUGAACGGCCACAUUGGGACUGAGAUACGGCCCAGACUCCUACGGGAGGCAGCAGUGGGGAAUAUUGCACAAUGGGGGAAACCCUGAUGCAGCAACGCCGCGUGAAGGAAGACGGUUUUCGGAUUGUAAACUUCUUUUCUUAGUGAAGAAGCAAGUGACGGUAGCUAAGGAAUAAGCAUCGGCUAACUACGUGCCAGCAGCCGCGGUAAUACGUAGGAUGCGAGCGUUACCCGGAAUUACUGGGUGUAAAGGGAGCGCAGGCGGGACUGCAAGUUGGAUGUGAAAUACCGCAGCUUAACUGCGGAGCUGCAUCCAAAACUGUAGUUCUUGAGUGGAGUAGAGGCAAGCGGAAUUCCGAGUGUAGCGGUGAAAUGCGUAGAUAUUCGGAGGAACACCAGUGGCGAAGGCGGCUUGCUGGGCUCUAACUGGCGCUGAGGCUCGAAAGUGUGGGGAGCAAACAGGAUUAGAUACCCUGGUAGUCCACACUGUAAACGAUGAUAGCUAGGUGUGGGGGGUCUGACCCCUUCCGUGCCGGAGUUAACGC